GGAUAAUGUUUGUGUGCUGUUUAACUUGUGGACAAAAACUUAAAGACACGAAAAUUCUCUUUUGCAGCUCUGAAAUCAUUACCCAGUAUGAGUUUUGAUGUAUAAAUAAGGAACAUU
rnacentral:snoRNA from 1 species